rnacentral:rRNA from 1 species
UACGUAGGCAGCGAGCGUUGUUCGGAGUUACUGGGCGUAAAGAGUGCGUAGGCGGUUUUCUAAGUUUGGUGUGAAAUCUCCCGGCUUAACUGGGAGGGUGCGCCGAAAACUGGAAGGCUUGAGUAUGGGAGAGGUAAGCGGAAUUCCUGGUGUAGCGGUGAAAUGCGUAGAUAUCAGGAGGAACACCAAUGGCGAAGGCAGCACUCUGGGACGGUACUGACGCUGAGACGCGAAAGCGUGGGGAGCAAACAGG